CUCUCCAAGUCGCCAUAAAUGUUCUCCUCACCGGUGCCAUUUCCGUCUUCCUCUUCUUCUCCUCCCGUCUCUGAGCAAAAUGCAUAAGAACUGAAGUGAAGUUUAAAGAAGGAAAACCUAACAAAAUGAGUUUUGUUUGAGCUUUUAAUGGUCAUUUUUUGUUGUGAACAAGAGUUUGUACAAUUCCAUACUUGAAGACCUUUGUAAUUGUGUACAAUUGAGCAAAUCAACACUUCCACCAAUUAGAAGGUUCAUCAAUAUCCCAUCAUGGAUCGCUAGUUGCUGGUGGAUUCUCUUAUUCAUCACUCAAGUUAACUAUUUGACGCCAGAAUUGGGAUAUUGCAAAACUUAGGUGUAUGGCAGUUGUAAGUUGUUUUGAACCGGUUCGGGGCUGCUAUGAUAUAAAGGUUGCAAGCUUUUGAUUUGGGUUGUUUUGGUGGAUGAAUCGACCCGUCAUCGAUGGUAAAUAAGUUAAGGAGCUGAUGCGUUUGGUUCCUGUUUACUGCAAGAUAAAGGGUUUAAACUACUUGUUUUGGUGGAAAAUUGGACCUACAAUCUUCGCAAACAUUGGUCGCUUAUAAUUGUUUGCCCAGAUUUCAAAUUCGGCAAUAUUGUUGAUUCUAUAACGAAGGGAAGACCCAUAAAAAUUACAAGCUCGUCAAGAUCACUGAAGAAGUUUUUGAGAUUAAUUUUAAGUGGCACAUGGCACAGUGCAAACAACAGAAAGACAGUUGUGAAUGUGGGUACAUGGUAAUCAAACAUAUGAAAGAGUUUAUCGACUCUAUACAACAUGAUUUGGUUAACCGACUUUGGAAUGAAGAAGGGUAUUUUGAAGAAUCUCAAAUUGAGAAUUUAGUGGUAGAUUUAAUGUCGGAUUUUAUUAAAAAGAUGUUUUGAUCUUGUAAGCAUUAGUUUGUGUUUCAUACUUUUGUAAUUCCGUAUACUUGAACCUGUUGUUGGGUUGUUUAAUACUAGUUAACUUUUGUCGUGA